AAUCUUCUUCCGGAUUUUGGCUCACAGAAUACGUAAUAAAUCACCACAACUCACCUGAUACUUACAGAAGAUUAAAUAAAAACACGAGGUCUAGUGACCUAUUACCUAUUGCUUACCGUACCGCACUCAGCUGAGAAAAUCGGAGGGCUGCCAUGAUAUUCCUGCCCAAAGUCUUGAAAAUUCUGCAUUAUUUUCAGAUAAUUUUAAAAAUAUGACGCAACAUGGGCUGGAAUAUAUUUCUCCUUACCCAAAUAAGGACUCUAUAUUCUAUGUGAAUCUUCGUUGGGGAAAUUAUCUCAGCGUACCUACAUUUGCUCGGAGAUGUUAAUGAUGUUAAGGGUCACGGUUUUCCCUCAAUUAUUUGCCCCGAAACCAUGCCCGACGCCAGACAUUUCCGUCUGAAGGCGAGCCGAAUUUGAACACCGGCAUUUUCUAACGAUCUUUGAGAUCUUGAGAAGAGGGAAGAGAGAAAGACGAUGAUAGGUGUAAGUUCAAUGGACGGACUUUCCCCGUUUUCUCUACGGUGUCGCGGUAAUACGGGAAUGCAUCCCAGAGGGGGUCAUCAAUUUUGGAGGAAGGCUCGCGAACAGGAUUUCAUCCCUCUUUCGGUGCGGCUCCAAGCUACGGAGCGAGUCUUGACCCCGGCUCGCAGACCCACAAUGCAUUGCGUUGCCGGUUUCCCCAUGCGCAGCGUCGGUGCGCAGUAGUCUUCUCGCUCGCUAGGCCGGUGCCGUCGAAUUUUUCUUAGUGCUUCCUUUUGUGUGUGAUUUUUAAUUUACAAUGGCAGACCAAGAUCAAGAAAUGGGAAAUGGAGAUGGUCAGCAAGAACAGACUGACUACAUGAACGGUGGUGAAGGCGGAAAUGGCGAAGCCACGGACUCAUCCUCUGGAAAGGAUGACGAUAGAAAAUUAUUUGUUGUGGUCUCAGCUGGGAAACCUCAGACAGUAAGUGUUCUUUCUCCUUCGAUUUUCUGUCUCUGUGAAAGUUACAGUUAUUCUCAAUCUUCACACUAUUCUAUUAGAGAAUAUAACAUUACUGGCUUCAUAGUAUGAACAAAAGCCUUGUAGUUCUUUAUUCAUAAUAUUGAGAGACUACUUCAACUUCAUCAAAAUUUCCGUGUAUGGUGAGACUUGUAAGUGUAAUUGAUAAGUAUAUCUGUUAGGAAAGACCCCGUUAUCCUUUGUAUGGAUACAACUAUUAAUUUAUAGUCAUUCAGUUCCCCUCUCCCCACUGUCUCACUAACAGAGGUACUAAAAUUCCCACAGAUUUACUUGAAUACUUUGUGCGCAUUCAGUCUGAAUGAUAAAAUCUGUGACAAGGAUAUGAAGUAUCUAUUGAUAAACAACUGCACAGCUAUAUAAUCUAAAAUUUGUCAUUUUAACCAUUUUGACACUAAUCUUUAUUUUUUAUUUUCACAGAGGAACUCAGAGAACACUUCAGCAAGUAUGGUGAAAUCGAAAAUAUCAAUGUGAAAGUAGACCCAAACACCGGAAGGUCGAGAGGCUUUGCAUUUAUUGUAUUUAAGGAUGUAGCUGUAAUAGAUAAGGUAUGAUGUCCAAGAUUAUUUUUGCCUCUCAAUUCUAGUUCACGCUCAGAGAACAGCAUAAUAGCUGUUGCUUUGCUCAGGGGUGUCAUUUAACCUGCAAUAGGAGUGAGAGGAGAACAAAUCUUAUCACUUCCCUCAGUUUGACUAGAAUUUUUUCUACUGAAAGUCAGCAAUCAUGAAGGGUUGUGUUGUUACUCUCCGUAGCCUGUUACCCUGAUGAAUGCUUUCAUUAGCACGUUGAAAUAGUAUCCUUUCUGUCUAGCUGCCACCCGAUUCUGGGGCUCAAAUUGAGAUAUUCACCUGAAGGCUUCUGCUCCCUUUAAAAUGUAAACCAUUGUAAUACACAUUCUCAAGAAUUUCUAAAAUCUUGACAAGUAAAAAUUUCCAGUAGAAUCCCCCGCGAAAAUUUAUUUUUUAUCACACACCUCGUAAGGUGUGUGAGCUCUCAAUUAUCAUAGGACGCAUCCUCGAAAAAAAAUAUAGGUCGGAUUUUUUCCCCCUCAUAAAUACCUUAUUUUCUUUUUAGGGAGGAAGACAUUUUAGGCAUAAUCUUUUCUUUUGUGUUGCUAUAUUGGAUAGACUUCUCACCAAGACACUGAUUCAUCUUCAAUUGCUCAAUCUUGCUGUGCUUAUCUUUGGAUACCCUGAGUUCUUAGGUACCACUUCAUGUGCGCUUUCAUUUUUCAGGUAAUCGCAGCUGGAGCCAGUCUCAUGGAAAGAAAUCGAUCCCAAGCAGCGAUGGAAGUGAGGCUAUCCACAGACUUGACAAUGAGACAUCAAAAACUACUUCGCUCAUUGGAACUGU
rnacentral:lncRNA from 1 species